ensembl:lncRNA
CUGGUGCUUCUCUGCCUCUGCUCUCCUGGCUCAGGCCCAGCAUCCAGAGAUGCUCUGGCCUCUCCAGUGGCUUCAGCAGCACAGAUUUCUCCUGCCCCGCCCUGGGAGUCAUCCCAACUGCAGGAUCUGUGUUCAGACUCCUGGCCAGGACAAUACUGAAGUCUUCAGACAGUCAAGGCACUUUGCAGCCUCUCAGAGUGACCUAGCCAGCCGGCAUGGCAGCAGUCCGUACAGCAGGCGGAAAAGUGAAACCCAGCCAACUGAACCUAUCACUCUACGUCACCCCUAAGCGGGAGCUUCCCCUACACCAGGGAGCUCAAUAGGUUCCUGGAUGAGGACAGCAGGAGCCCUAAAAGAUGCCACUGCCCCAGACAGCAGGAAUUAAUUUUAAGUACAUGAUGCCCACAUUCCCAAGGGGAGGGACAUGUCUGCUCCUGGAAGCAUCAGUCUACUCUGGAGAAGAUGAUGGGCUUGAAGAAAGUUCACAUUGUUGCUUUCUUUUUAUGUCCCACCAGAUCCCGCUGCCCUUGAGCCCCAAAAAAACACACAGACACUGUAGUAACUAUCAAACUGUUGGCCGAUGUCUAGGGCUUCUUUUUUUUUUCCCGAGACAGGGUUUCCCUGUGGCUUUGGAGGCUGUCCUGGAACUAACUCUUGUAAACCAGGCUGGUCUCGAACUCACAGAGAUCCACCUGACUCUGCCACCCGAGUGCUGGGACUAAAGGCGUGCGGCACCAACGCCCGGCACCUAGGGCUUCUUAUUGGCUAGCUCUGUCUUAAUUAUUAACCCAUAACUACUAAUCUAUGUAUUUCUACAUGGUCUUAUCUUACCAGAGAAUGCCUGGCACAUCCUGUCUUCCCAGGCUCUACAUGGCAACCUCUGUGGUCUCUCUUCACCUACCUUUCCCAGCAUUCUCCUCAUCUCCUAGCCCCACCUAUCUUCCUGCCUGGCCAAUCAGUAUUUUAUUCAUCAACCAAUAAGAGAAAUAUAUAUACAGAAGGAAAUCCCCCAUCAUCACACGGAGUUAACUUUCUUUGUGGUAAAAUAAGCCACUGGGCAAGAAAGUGUUCUUGCCUCGACUACUGACAGUAUGCUGUCCAAACUGGAAAGGCAGGGCACAAAAGAAAGUGACUGCCAAACUUUGCCAAGACAAAUUUGGACAGCACAGAAAAGUUUGUCAGAUAUGCUAGGCCUGUAGGCUGAAGACGGAUGCCCCAACAUUGCAGAAGAACAUUGAGUGACUUUCUGUCAUGUCUCACAUUUUUGGAAGUCGCUUGCUUACACUUUCUGCUUUACUCAGGAGAAAAAUGUUAGCAACUCCUUAUUGACUUCCUGAAAUCGACUCCCAUCUUGCUGCUCCCUGGAAGGGGGGCUGUCUGGAAGCAGAGCCUGAAAGCUGGAUACUCUGUGCUUUUCUUCAUUUUCCUCACCAUUCUGAGGGAAGAAGAUGAAGCCUAGGUCAUUUGUGCCAAGAGACGAUGUCAACAGCUUCAUGAAGGGGAUUUGUUCACCCUAUAAGUGCUCCACUUAGAGAUUUGUUUCCAUGGAGAUGGAGUCGACAGGAUGAACCGCCACAGCAGCUGAUGUUGAUUCUGCUGGUAGGGGACCGCGAGAAUCUCUUCCUGCUUCCUGUAUUUACUUCAUUUUCCUUCAUUCACUGUUCCUGUUCAGAUUCUUUUUUUAGUGGAAAAAAA